rnacentral:rRNA from 1 species
CCUACGGGAGGCAGCAGUGAGGAAUAGUGGUCAAUGGGCGCGAGACUGAACCAGCCAAGUAGCGGGAAGGAGGAAGGCACAACGGGAGGUAAACUUCUUUUAUAAAGGAAUAAAGUGAGGCACGUGUGCCCUUUUGUAUGUACCUUAUGAAUAAGGAUCGGCUAACUCCGUGCCAGCAGCCGCGGUAAUACGGAGGAUCCGAGCGUUAUCCGGAUUUAUUGGGUUUAAAGGGGGCGUAGAUGGGUUGUUAAGUCAGUUGUGAAAGUUUGCGGCUCAACCGUUAAAUUGCAAUUGAUACUGGCAGCCUUGAGUACGGUUGAGGUAGGCGGAUUUCGUGGUGUAGCGGUGAAAUGCUUAGAUAUCGCGAAGAACUCCGAUUGCGAAGGCAGCCUACUAGACUGCCACUGACAUUGAUGCUCGAAAGUGUGGGUAUCAAACAGGAUUAGAUACCCCAGUAGUC